GCCAACACUGGGCUUUGGUGGCCAAGGUCGAUGGUGGCCUGGGCAGGAGGAGGACCAUGAGCCAGGAGUGUGCUUUGGUGGCCAAGAAGGCCAAUGGUGGCCUGGGAAGGAGGAGAACCACAAGGCAGCACUGUGCUUUGGUGGCCAAGAAGGUCAAUGGUGGCCUGAACAGGAGGACCACGAGCCAACACUGUGCUUUGGUGGCCAAGAAGGCCAAUGGUGGCCAAGGCAAGAGGACCAUGAGACAGCAGUGUGCUUUGGUGGCCAAGAAGGCCAAUGGUGGCCUGGGAAGGAGGAGGACCAUGAGACAGCAGUGUGCUUUGGUGGCCAAGAAGGUCAAUGGUGGCCUGGGAAGGAGGACCAUGAACCAACACUGUGCUUUGGUGGUCAAGAAGGCCAAUGGUGGCCUGGGAAGGAGGACCAUGAGCCAACAGUGUGCUUUGGUAGCCAAGAAGGCCAAUGGUGGC
ensembl:lncRNA